UGGAUGAGUUGCGAACGGGUGAGUAACGCGUAGGUAACCUGCCUGGUAGCGGGGGAUAACUAUUGGAAACGAUAGCUAAUACCGCAUAACAGUAGAUGUUGCAUGAUAUCUGCUUGAAAGGGGCAAUUGCUCCACUACCAGAUGGACCUGCGUUGUAUUAGCUAGUUGGUGAGGUAACGGCUCACCAAGGCGACGAUACAUAGCCGACCUGAGAGGGUGAUCGGCCACACUGGGACUGAGACACGGCCCAGACUCCUACGGGAGGCAGCAGUAGGGAAUCUUCGGCAAUGGACGGAAGUCUGACCGAGCAACGCCGCGUGAGUGAAGAAGGUUUUCGGAUCGUAAAGCUCUGUUGUAAGAGAAGAACGAGUGUGAGAGUGGAAAGUUCACACUGUGACGGUAUCUCACCAGAAAGGGACGGCUAACUACGUGCCAGCAGCCGCGGUAAUACGUAGGUCCCGAGCGUUAUCCGGAUUUAUUGGGCGUAAAGCGAGCGCAGGCGGUUAGAUAAGUCUGAAGUUAAAGGCUAUGGCUUAACCAUAGUACGCUUUGGAAACUGUUUAACUUGAGUGCAGAAGGGGAGAGUGGAAUUCCAUGUGUAGCGGUGAAAUGCGUAGAUAUAUGGAGGAACACCGGUGGCGAAAGCGGCUCUCUGGUCUG
rnacentral:rRNA from 1 species